GACAGAGGUGCCAAGCGUUAGGCGGAAUCACUGGGCUUAAAGCGUGUGUAGGCGGGUCGUUAAGUACCUUGUGAAAUCCCACGGCUCAACCGUGGAACUGCUUGGUAUACUGGCGAUCUUGAGCCAGCUAGGGGCUACCGGAACAAACGGUGGAGCGGUGAAAUGCGUAGAUAUCGUUUGGAACGCCAAUGGUGAAAACAGGUAGCUGGGGCUGUGCUGACGCUGAGACACGAAAGCCAGGGGAGCGAACAGG
rnacentral:rRNA from 1 species